rnacentral:rRNA from 1 species
AACGUAGGAUCCGAGCGUUAUCCGAAUUCACUGGGCGUAAAGCGCGUGCAGGCGGUUCGCAAAGUUGGAUGUGAAAUCUUCCGGCUCAACUGGGAGAGGCCGUUCAAAACUUGCGGACUAGAGGGCAGUAGAGGGAGGUGGAAUUCCCGGUGUAGUGGUGAAAUGCGUAGAUAUCGGGAGGAACACCAGUGGCGAAAGCGGCCUCCUGGGCUGUACCUGACGCUAAGAUGCGAAAGCUAGGGGAGCGAACGGG